rnacentral:rRNA from 10 species
GCCUGGUUAGUACUUGGAUAGGUGACCGCCUGGGAAUACCAGGU